UAGAAAAAAGAGAACACAGUUAACCUAAAUCUAUUAUUCUCUUUUAGCGUCUUCUCCGCCAAGAGCUUCUUCCUCUCUUCAAUGGCGAUUUGUUCUUCUUCUUCGAACGGUUAAAUCCAUCUGUCUCUAUUCUAUAUUUAUGCUUAGUUGUUCAUAUGCAGUAAACUGUCUAGCAAAUAUGAACAGAAUUUGCCAUGUUUGCAUCCGCUACAAAGUUUCUACAGAAGCUCUAGAGCAAUAUAUUAUGCUCGGUAUGGUUUAAGUGUUUCAGUAUCAAUGAUUUGUACAUUAGUGAUACACUAUUUGUUGAGUUUGUCAAUUUGAUUCUGAUAUUUCUCAAUGAAUCAAGUUGUAUUCUUUUCUUUGUUUGUCAGUGUUUUGGUUCAAGUCUUGGUGAAAACGUUUCCGCAGAAAAUCUCCUUAGUGUAUGUUUCUUUUCAAGAAUUUCAAAGAUGUAUGUUUCUUUUCAAGAAUUUCAAAGAUACAGAACCAUGAUCGCGAGAGACUUUGUGCUCCUCCACGGUUAAAAAUAUGAUACGCAUUAAUGAUCCAACGUCUGACAUCACUGUUUCUGAUAUUAAAUAAGACAGUGCAGGGGAUCUUCUUAGUUGUUCAUGUACGGUACUUGACAAGACAAACUCUAUUGACGGAACAGUUCCAGAACAAGUUAAGUUUCAGAGUGAGGUGAAGAAGCUACAACAGGAGCAGUUCAGGCCAGCAGAGCAAGUUUCAAUUUCAUCACAAGAGAUGCUGCAGUACAUCGCCUUGGAGUGAAACAUGAUCUUACAUGAGCGAUCUAUUGUACCAGCAAGACCUCUAAAACAGCUUUGCCUUCCAAAUGCACGUUUCUUCACUCUUUUUUUUUUGUCCUGAUCCAUAUUAUCAUCAUUACUUCCCGAACAAACAAAAUGUUACCAAGUAAUCAAUUAGUUGUAUCUUGUAAGCUUUCGUUUCCUUGUUCAUGAUCCAACUUUUGUAACCGUCACAAAAAUGAGCAAGUAAUUCUCAAUGUACAUGAAAUGGUUUUGUUCAACUGAAACUUCAAGUUUUUUCAGCUUGAUUAAAAAGCUUCUUAA